UACAGCCACACCGCGUUGCAACCCCGGUUCCCGUACGAUCACCGAAGUUAAGCAUCGUUGAGCCUGGUAAGUACUUAGGUGGGUUACCGCUUGGGAAUAUCAGGUGCUGUAAG